rnacentral:rRNA from 1 species
UACAGAGGUCCCAAGCGUUGUUCGGAUUCAUUGGGCGUAAAGGGUGCGUAGGUGGCGCGCUAAGUCGGGUGUGAAAUUUCGGAGCUUAACUCCGAAACUGCAUUCGAUACUGGUGUGCUUGAGGACUGGAGAGGAGACUGGAAUUCAUGGUGUAGCAGUGAAAUGCGUAGAGAUCAUGAGGAAGACCAGUGGCGAAGGCGGGUCUCUAGUACGGUACUGACGCUGAGACGCGAAAGCGUGGGGAGCAAACAGG